GAGGUCCAACCUGCCCAGUGAUAUUAAUUCAACGGCCGCGGUAUACUGACCGCGCUAAGGUAGCACAAUCACUUGUCUCUUAAAUCGGGACUAGUAUGAAAGGACCCACGAGGGUCUAACUGUCUCCUUUUUUUAAUCCGUGAAACUAAUCCCCCCGUGAAAAAGCGGGGAUCAUAAUAUAAGACGAGAAGACCCUAUGGAGCUUUAGAUAAAACAAUACUUCUCUUUCCUCCCCUAUUUCCAGAAAAAUACCCCACAAGGCACUUUAUUGUUUAACUUCGGUUGGGGCGACCGCGGAGCAAAACCAACCCUCCAUGCGAGUGGAAAUUUUCCACAACAAAGAGCUACAACUCUAUGAACCAAAAAUUGCUAAUUGACCCAAUGUUUGAUCAACGAAACAAGUUACCCUAGGGAUAACAGCGCAAUCUACUUCAAGAGUCCCUAUUGACAAGUGGGUUU
rnacentral:rRNA from 2 species